rnacentral:tRNA from 1 species
CAAAGGGUAGUUUAAAUAAAAAUAUUAGUUUUGGAAAUUAAAGAUAAGAUAUUCUUCCCUUUGA